AGUGAACGCUGGCGGUAGGCCUAACACAUGCAAGUCGAACGGCAGCACAGUAAGAGCUUGCUCUUACGGGUGGCGAGUGGCGGACGGGUGAGGAAUACAUCGGAAUCUACUUUUUCGUGGGGGAUAACGUAGGGACACUUACGCUAAUACCGCAUACGACCUACGGGUGAAAGCAGGGGAUCUUCGGACCUUGCGCGAUUGAAUGAGCCGAUGUCGGAUUAGCUAGUUGGCGGGGUAAAGGCCCACCAAGGCGACGAUCCGUAGCUGGUCUGAGAGGAUAAUCAGCCACACUGGAACUGAGACACGGUCCAGACUCCUACGGGAGGCAGCAGUGGGGAAUAUUGGACAAUGGGCGAAAGCCUGAUCCAGCCAUACCGCGUGGGUGAAGAAGGCCUUCGGGUUGUAAAGCCCUUUUGUUGGGAAAGAAAAGCAGCAGGUUAAUACCCCGCUGUUCUGACGGUACCAAAAGAAUAAGCACCGGCUAACUUCGUG
rnacentral:rRNA from 1 species